rnacentral:lncRNA from 1 species
AGCGAGGCUGACAGGCGUAGUGAUCGAAAAAGGCUCGUUGCCAUGCAGUUGUCUGUGACGUUGCGCUUCUUCCAAUCAUUAGCACGGGUUGUUAAAGAGAAACCGCCCCCCUGGAAAACCGGCCAAUCCACCUUUGACUUUUCUUCGUGUGUUUGUGGAAGGUGAGGCUUCGGAUUUACAAAUGAGGUUGUUGAGUUUCGGUUGCCGUGGAAACGAAUGCGGCUACGUAGGUCUCCCCCUUCAGCUCUACAAAGGUGAAACUGUGGUGCCUUUCCCUAAUUCCAGGUAAUUCGAAUUGGUUUCCCACCAAUUCUCCUUCUUAUCUACACUUUUAAUCAGAUGAGAUCGAGUGACGAAAAAAAGCUCCAUAGCAGCAUCACUUCCUAUAGAAUGGAGAAUAAACCUUCAGGCAUAGAAUCAGACUACAUCAAGAAUCUCCAGCAGCAGAUUUACUUUCUUGAACUGGAAGCCAGUUUUCUAUAUCCAAUGCAGUGUGUAGUUAGAUUCUCCUAACAGAUAGCAGGAGAAAAACAAAUGCAUGAAAAAUAAUAUUGCACUAAAAUAUUGCAGAAAUUAUGCAGAUGAACUUUUUAUUUCAAGUUUAUUAACCCCUCCUAACAGCAUUAAUUUCAAAUCACCUUUUGACCUUAACUGUCUAUUAUUACUCGUGAACAAGCUAAAAAGGCCAUUGAUCUUCAGCCUCGCCUUGCAUUGGAAACAGACAACAUGCUACAAAAAAUGCAGGAAUUCCAGUCUCAGUUGGAUGGUCUUCAACUCGAGCUAAAGCGAAAGGAAAGUGGUUUAAAUGUAUUGAAGAAGGAGAAAGAACAACUUAACAACCAGAUCAACGUGACUGAUGAGUGCCAUUCAAAAGAGAAGCAGGUUUUAGUAGAUGAAAUUAUAGCACUGAAGAGAAAGAAGGAGCAAACAGACAAGCAAAUAUCUGCAAAAGAAACAGAACUAUCGCAUGCUAAGCAGGAACUGGAACAGCAACAAAUGACCCUGAGUAACAGGGAACAGACUAUCCUUGUAUUACGAACAAAGGUGAAACAACUAUCAGAACAGCACAAGGCAGUGGAGUUGCAGCUGUCUGAAAAGAGGCAGGAAUUCUUGAAAGUUCAGUCUGCUAUGCAUGAAAUGGAAGACAAGAUCUUUAAGGCAACAGCAGCGAUGCAAAAGCAAAUAACCCAUGAACUACGGAAUGAGAUAUCAUUUCUUCAUCAACAAAUCCGUGAAAAAGAGCACCUAGCAGAACAGGAUUGUCUCUUAAGAAGUAAAAUGGUGGAUGAUUAUACAGCCUUGACGAAAGAGAAUGCCAUGCUGCAGACCAGGCUGUUGGAACUUACUCAACAAAUAGACAUUGAGAGAGCACUCAAAGAAGAGAGUUGCACAUCCCACUCCAACAGUCUUGCUAAAUUUCUGGAAAUGAAAGACCAUGAAGAACAUCUGCAACAAGAGAUCAAGAGGCACCAUGGUCUCCUGGAGCAGGAAAAGAUGGCCCUCCGGGGCCUUAAAGAUCAGCUUAGCAUAUUAGAAAAAGGAAGCACAUCUCUUACCUUAAACAUUGCUACAAUGGGCAGUCAAGUUGCUGAAAUAAAAGCUAUUCUGGAGAAAGAGGAACAGAACAAUCUUGAAUUGAAGAGAGACAAAGCUCUGCUAGUUGAUCUUGUAUCUAAUCUACAAAAUCAGCUUGCAGGAAAAGAAAGAAAUCUGCUACAGGCUUCUGAUAAGAUGCUGCAGCUGGAUGAAGCCAUUUCAGCACUGAAAAAAAGACAUGUAUUACAUCAGUCUCUUGAAUCAGAAAAAUGGGAUGAAAUCUCCAAAAUGGCAAAUUCCAUGAAGGAGCUCAAUAAGUCUGUGACAGAUAUUGUAAUCAGUAUGGGAACAAACUAGUCUGUUAAGUGAAAUUUUCUUUUUCUCUUUGAAAAUAUUUGAAUACUAAGAAGGUUUGAAAUACAUUUUUAUGACUAGAAACUGAAGAAUUAUUUCCAUUUUAGUCAUUUUUGCAACAUGGAUUUACUGUAAAAGAUUAAAAUACUGAUGAAAAUUAUUU